CCUACGGGAGGCAGCAGUGAGGAAUAUUGGUCAAUGGGCGGAAGCCUGAACCAGCCAAGUCGCGUGAGGGACUAAGGCCCUACGGGUCGUAAACCUCUUUUGCCGGGGAUCAGUGCCCAGCUCGCGAGCUGGGAGGGAGCGUACCCGGAGAAAAAGCAUCGGCUAACUCCGUGCCAGCAGCCGCGGUAAUACGGAGGAUGCGAGCGUUAUCCGGAUUUAUUGGGUUUAACGGGUGCGUAGGCGGGCAUUUAAGCCGGCGGUCAAAUGUCGGGGCUCAACCCCGGCCUGCCGUCGGAACUGGGUGCCUUGAGUGGGCGAGAAGUAUGCGGAAUGCGUGGUGUAGCGGUGAAAUGCAUAGAUAUCACACAGAACCCCGAUUGCGAAGGCAGCAUACCGGCGCCCUACUGACGCUGAGGCACGAAAGUGCGGGUAUCGAACAGGAUUAGAUACCCCUGUAGUC
rnacentral:rRNA from 1 species